rnacentral:lncRNA from 1 species
GAGCUUUACUGCUGCCAGCUAUACAGCAGCUAACAGAACCAGCUGUGGAACUGCCUAUCCACCCAGGACUGGACCAAACGUUUAGAGAGAGAUAUAGGUCUGUAGUUCUGUUAUCACAGACACUGUUUAGAGAGAGAGAUGUAGGUCUGUAGUUCUGUUAUACAGACACUGUUUAGAGAGAGAGAGAGAGAGAUGUAGGUCUGUAGUUCUGUUAUCACAGACACUGUUUAGAGAGAGAUGUAGUUCUGUUAUACAGACACUGUUUAGAGAGAGAUGUAGGUCUGUAGUUCUGUUAUCACAGACACUGUUUAGAGAGAGAUGUAGGUCUGUAGUUCUGUUAUCACAGACACUGUUUAGAGAGAGAUGUAGUUCUGUUAUACAGACACUGUUUAGAGAGAGAUGUAGGUCUGUAGAUCUGUUAUCACAGACAAUGUUUAGAGAGAGAGAUGUAGGUCUGUAGAUCUGUUAUACAGACACUGUUUAGAGAGAGAGAGGUGUAGUCCUAUAUAGUGAGCUCCAAAAGUAUUGGGACAGUGACACAUUUUCUGUUGUUUUGGCUCUGUACUUAAAAUUAGACGAUGACUAUGAGGUUAACGUGCAGACUGUCCACUUUGAGGGUUACGUCAUCCAUAUCGGCUGAACGGUUUAGAAAUUACUUUUUGUACAUAGUCC